CCUACGGGUGGCAGCAGUGAGGAAUAUUGGUCAAUGGGCGUAAGCCUGAACCAGCCAAGUCGCGUGAGGGAUGAAGGUUCUAUGGAUCGUAAACCUCUUUUAUAAGGGAAUAAAGUGCGGGAUGUGUCCCGUUUUGUAUGUACCUUAUGAAUAAGGAUCGGCUAACUCCGUGCCAGCAGCCGCGGUAAUACGGAGGAUCCGAGCGUUAUCCGGAUUUAUUGGGUUUAAGGGGUGCGUAGGCGGCCUUUUAAGUCAGCGGUGAAAGUCGGUGGCUAAACCAUAGAAUUGACGUUGAAACUGGGGGGUUUGAGUAUGUUGGAGGCAGGCGGAAUGCGUGGUGUAGCGGUGAAAGGCUUGG
rnacentral:rRNA from 1 species